rnacentral:rRNA from 1 species
AUUGAACGCUGGCGGCAUGCCCUACACAUGCAAGUCGAACGGCAGCACGGGAGCUUGCUCCUGGUGGCGAGUGGCGAACGGGUGAGUAAUACAUCGGAACGUACCCUGAAGUGGGGGAUAACGUAGCGAAAGUUACGCUAAUACCGCAUAUUCUGUGAGCAGGAAAGAGGGGGAUCGCAAGACCUCUUGCUUUAGGAGCGGCCGAUGUCGGAUUAGCUAGUUGGUGAGGUAAAGGCUCACCAAGGCGACGAUCCGUAGCGGGUCUGAGAGGAUGAUCCGCCACACUGGGACUGAGACACGGCCCAGACUCCUACGGGAGGCAGCAGUGGGGAAUUUUGGACAAUGGGCGCAAGCCUGAUCCAGCCAUGCCGCGUGAGUGAAGAAGGCCUCGGUU